rnacentral:rRNA from 1 species
GACGAAGGAUGCAAGCGUUAUCCGGAUUCAUUGGGUUUAAAGGGUGCGUAGGCGGACCUGUAAGUCAGUGGUGAAAUCUCUCAGCUUAACUGAGAAACUGCCAUUGAUACUGCAGGUCUAGAGUAUAGAUGACGUUGGCGGAAUAUGACAUGUAGUGGUGAAAUACUUAGAUAUGUCAUAGAACACCGAUUGCGAAGGCAGCUAACGAAACUAUAACUGACGCUGAGGCACGAAAAGUGCGGGGAUCAAACAGG